GAUGAAGAACGUAGCGAAAUGUGAUAAGUAGUGUGAAUUGCAGAAUUCAGUGAAUCAUCGAAUCUUUGAACGCACAUUGCGCCCUUUGGUAUUCCUUAGGGCAUGCCUGUUCGAGCGUCAUUUAAACCUUCAAGCUAAGCUUGGUGUUGGGUGACUGUCCGCUUCACUGCGGACUCGCCUCAAAAUUAUUGGCGGCCGGUACAUUGGCUUCGAGCGCAGCAGAAACGCGAACUCGGGCCCGUCGUAUUGGCUCCCAGAAGCUAUCUUCACAAUUUUGACCUCGGAUCAGGUAGGGAUACCCGCUGAACUUAAGCAUAUCAAUAAGCGGAGGA
rnacentral:misc_RNA from 1 species